GCCCUAUUCUUCUAGUGGUCAGGAAUCCGCCCUUUCACGGCGGCAACAAGGGUUCGAUUCCCUUAUAGGGCACCA
rnacentral:tRNA from 1 species